GCUCAGUUGGAUAGAGCAUCAGCCUUCUAAGCUGAGGGUCCCUGGUUCGAAUCCAGG
rnacentral:tRNA from 1 species